ensembl:lncRNA
GUGGCUAGUUCCUGUGUGCCCUAUUUAAAAGCCAAGUGAACGGGGCUGCUUUCAAGAGCACAGGGGCUAGGUGAGAGUAGAUACAACACAACAUUACUGGGGCUAGGUGAGAGUAGAUACAGCACAACAUUACUGGGGCUAGGUGAGAGUAGAUACAACACAACAUUACUGGGGCUAGGUGAGGGUAGAUACAGCAUAACAUUACUGGGGCUAGGUGAGAGUAGAUACAACACAACAUUACUGGGGCUAGGUGAGAGUAGAUACAACACAACAUUACUGGGGCUAGGUGAGAGUAGAUACAACACAACAUUACUGGGGCUAGGUGAGAGUAGAUACAACACAACAUUACUGGGGCUAGGUGAGAGUAGGCAUCAAGUGUACUCACUUUUACAGUAGCUCAGUAAUCAUACCGC